UACGUAGGGGGCUAGCGUUGUCCGGAUUUAUUGGGCGUAAAGAGCGUGUAGGCGGCCAGAUAGGUCUGCUGUGAAAACUCGAGGCUCAACCUCGAGAUGUCGGCGGAAACCAUUUGGCUAGAGUCCGGAAGAGGAAAGUGGAAUUCCUGGUGUAGCGGUGAAAUGCGCAGAUAUCAGGAAGAACACCCGUGGCGAAGGCGGCUUUCUGGGACGGUACUGACGCUGAGACGCAAAAGCGUGGGGAGCGAACAGG
rnacentral:rRNA from 1 species